rnacentral:lncRNA from 1 species
AUUUUGCAUGUGGCCAUAUGCUAAUAUACGAUAAAAAAGGGUGUGAUGUCUACACACUCAUUUUUACUUUUUACACAUCUUCUAAUUUUCGACCGUCGGAUCGGAUGAAUUAAAGAAUAUCAAAUGACAGAAAUCAACAAGAGCGUAUGAAAAGUAAAAAAUGGUGUAUGGAUUGCACACCCCUAAAAAAAUUAGUAACAAUUAAAACUCAAUUAGUAACAACUAGCGACUGUAACAAAAAUCUACUAAUCACGACUUCAAAUCAAAGACUAAUAUCUUCCAUUCUAUCACUUACACUUGCUUUUCUCUUACCUAAAAUCUAAAAAUAUCAUCAAUAAAAAACGAAAAUAUCAUAAAGCUAAUCAAAUCAAUGGAAAGUCGUUUCUACAAGAUAAAGUCAUCUACAAAUCAACUCAAAGUCGAUAUCAAAAGAAAUCUACCGAGCUAAGCUGGUUUGUACAUUAUUAUGAAAAAGCAUGAACAACGGACUUCCAAACAACCAUCUAGGAACUUCCAGUUCAGUCCUCAAAUGCCAGCAAUGGAGAAAAGCUUCUCCAACAUUUGCUCUUCUCAGUAAUAUAAUAUUAGUUUUCAAUCUGCAGAAACAAAGAAUUCAUCUGUAGGUGGCUAGUUAUUACAAAAACAGAAACCACAUUUGUAUCCUAAAGAUCUCGGUGACUGCAAGUGAGUAAGCCGCCAUCAUACUCUAUGAGUAUGUAUGACCGCAGUGCUCAAGCAACACCCAUACGAUCCACAACUCUUCUACGUGAACUAACUUGAAAAAUGUUACCAUGAGAAUCAGAAGAGAAACUCCGCCUAUGUAAGUUUAUCUUACAUUGCCGGUCCCAAGCCCGGAUAAAGGAGGAGGGGGAGGGCGUCAGGGAGUCGACAGCCGGCACUCCAUGAUCACGUCGAAUCCUUAUGAAAAUGAAUCCAGAACGAAAUCGCGCUAAAGCUAGGGUGUCACCCGUAAGUGGCGCGCUGUGUGGCCCGAGCACAGUGAUAAGUGAGCAAGGGUCGCUGUAUCUCCAUCGGCACCCGGAUGCAGUGUUAAAUGAGCAAGGGGGCCAUAGAAACUUCUUUUCGAACGACUCCACUCAAAGUUGUUUGGGAGCAUAUGCUCCUAUCAACUUUACACGGGACACACAAAAGAAGUACUUUGAUCCUAUUAGACGGGGGAGAGUGAAGAAGCUAGGACAGAAGGGUUGAGUUCAAGAGAGCAAAAUGCGUUUAGGAACGUGGAAUAUAGGAACCUUAACGGGAAAAUCUAUGGAAGUAGUGGAAGUUAUGGUGAGGAGAAGGAUAAAUAUUAUGUGCCUACAAGAAACUAAGUGGGUUGGUCGUAAGGCAAAUGAUCUAGAAAACUCAGGGUUUAAACUUUGGUAUUCGGGCACAAAAUAGAACGAGAAACGGUGUUGGCAUCAUCAUCGUGGACAAGACCUUGACACAAGAUGUUGUAGAUGUCAAGAGGGUAGGAGAUAGAUAGAAUCAUGGCAAUCAAGAUUGUAAUAGGACAAGAACUUAUCAAUGUGAUUAGUGCGUACGCACCUCAAGUAGGGUUGGAUACAAGUUCGAAGGAGAAAUUUUGGGAAGACCUUGGAGACUUGGUGCAAGGAAUUGCUCAGAUGGAGAAGUUAUUUAUAGGAGGAGAUUUAAAUGGACAUGUGGGCAGGGAGACAGGCAACUAUGGAGGUUUUCAUGGUGGCCAUGGUUUUGGGGAGAGAAACAAGGAUGGGGAAGCUAUCUUGGAUUUUGCAAUGGCAUAUGAUCUCUUCUUAGCCAACACCUUCUUUAAGAAGAGAGAAGAAGAACAUGUGAUCACCUACAAGAGUGGGUCGUCAAAAAACACAAAUAGAUUUUCUUCUAAUGAGGAAAGGGGAUCGUAUAACUUGUAAGGAUUGCAAAGUUAUACCAGGAGAGAGCGUGGCUAAUCAACAUCGCUUGUUGGUGAUGGAUGUACAUAUCAAAAGAGUGAGACAAAAGAACAAGACUUGGAAGUGCCCAAGGACUAGAUGGUGGAAUCUAAAAGAAGAAAAACAAGCCAUUUUCAAAGAGAAGGUAAUCACCCAAUGUGUGUGGGAUAGAGAGGGAGAAGCUAGCCAAAUGUGGGAUUCCAUGGCUAGUUGUAUCCGAAAAGUAGCAAAAGAGGUAUUAGGAGAGUCCAAGGGCUUUGCCCCACACCAAAAGGAAUCUUGGUGGUGGAAUGAGGAGGUACAAACAAAGGUGAAGGCUAAGAAGGAAUGUUGUAAAGCCUUAUACAAGGAGAGGACCGAUGAAAAUGGUGAAAGGUAUAGAAAAGCGAAGCAAGAGGCGAAGAAAGCUGUCAGAGAAGCUAAGUUAGCGGCUUACGACGAUAUGUAUAAACGACUAGAUACCAAAGAAGGAGAGUUGGAUAUCUAUAAACUAGCUAGAGCAAGGGAAAAGAAGACAAGGGACCUAAACCAAGUGAGGUGCAUCAAGGAUGAGGAUGGAAAGGUUCUUGCUACAGAGAACGCGGUUAAAGACAGAUGGAGAGGUUAUUUUCAUAAUCUUUUCAAUGAAGGACAUGAAAUGGAGUGCUUCUUUAGGGGAGUUGAGUAACUCAGAAGAGUGUAGAAACUACUCUUUUUAUCGUCGAAUCCGGAAGGAAGAAGUGGUUGUAGCUUUGAAGAAGAUGAAGCAUAGAAAAGCAAUAGGCCCAGACGAUAUACCAAUCGAAGUGUGGAAAGUUUUGGGAGAGACAGGUAUAACAUGGCUCACUGACCUUUUCAAUAGGAUUUUGAAAACGAAGAAGAUGCCAAAUGAGUGGCGAACGAGCACUUUGGUGCCUAUCUACAAGAAUAAGGGCGACGUACAAAAUUGCAUGAACUAUAGGGGUAUUAAGCUAAUGAGUCAUACAAUGAAGCUCUGGGAGAGAGUCAUUGAGCAUAGAUUGAGGCAAGAGACACGGGUUUCGGACAACCAAUUCGGGUUCAUGCCAGGGCGCUCAACCAUGGAGGCAAUCUAUCUCUUACGAAGAUUGAUGGAAAGAUAUAGAGAUGGGAAAAAGGAUUUACACAUGGUCUUUAUAGAUUUGGAAAAAGCGUAUGAUAGGGUCCCAAGAGACAUUCUUUGGAGGAUUUUAGAGAAGAAAGGAGUACGAGUAGCAUAUAUCCAAGCUAUAAAGGAUAUGUAUGAAGGAGCAAAGACUGCCGUAAGAACUCAUGAAGGACAAACCGAAAGCUUUCCCAUAACUGUAGGAUUACAUCAAGGCUCAUCCUUAAGUCCUUACCUUUUUGCGUUGGUAAUGGAUGAGUUAACAGGACAUAUUCAAGAUGAUAUUCCUUGGUGUAUGCUUUUCGCAGACGAUAUAGUGUUGAUAGAUGAAACUCAGGAAGGGGUAAAUGCAAAGCUUAACCUUUGGAGAGAAGUGUUGGAAUCUAAAGGUCUUCGCCUAAGCCGAUCAAAGACAGAAUAUAUGGAGUGCAAGUUCAGUGCAAAUGGAGGCCAAAACGAGUUAGGGGUGAGGAUCGGAGAUCAAGAAAUACCAAAGAGCGACCGUUUUCGUUACCUAGGAUCUAUCUUGCAAAAGAACGGAGAAUUAGAUGGAGAUCUCAACCAUAGAAUACAAGCUGGAUGGAUGAAGUGGAAGAGUGCAUCCGGCGUGUUGUGUGUGACCGCCGUAUGCCACUGAAGCUCAAGGGAAAAUUUUAUAGGACGGCAAUAAGGCCGGCGAUGCUGUAUGGCACAGAAUGUUGGGCGGUGAAACAUCAACACGUACACAAAAUGGGUGUAGCGGAGAUGAGGAUGCUUCGUUGGAUGUGUGGGCACACGAGAAAGGAUAAGAUUAGGAAUGAGGAUAUCCGGGGUAAAGUAGGAGUAGCCGAAAUUGAAGGAAAGAUGAGAGAAAAUCGGUUACGGUUACGGUGGUUUGGACAUGUGCAAAGAAGGCCUACUGACGCUCCGAUUAGAAGAUGCGACUAUGGGACAGAGGUUCAGGGCCGAAGGGGUAGAGGAAGACCUAGGAAAACUUUGGAAGAGACUCUAAGAAAAGACUUAGAGUACUUGGAUCUAACGAAGGACAUGACACAGGAUCGAGCACAAUGGCGUUCUAAGAUUCAUAUAGCCGAUCCCACUCAGUGACUUGGAUUUUCCAAGUCUCCAACCGAGAAGUUUUCCUCACUCGGGAAAUUAAGGGAACACUACCCCAACCUACAUGCUCCACUCAGAAAGCUUCAACAUACAAGCUUCAACAAAAGAAAAUUCAAAGAACUUAGCGAAGAAGGCUUUGGUGUAUUUAACACAAUACGUUGAAAUGAAGGAAAGCUUAUUUAUUGAUAUCCCCGAUAAGCUACAAAUAUGUACAUAUACAUGAGUCAAAAUAAACACACAAGAGGGAGCCUUCACAAAGGUUGCUUAGGAGAAGUCUCAGCAGUCGGUAGAGCCCCAGAAAGAGAAGGCACCGGAGGGGGAUCAUUCGGAGCCUCAGUACUGGACAGAACCCUAGAAGGAGGAGGCAUCAGAGGUUGAUCAUUUGGAGCUUCAUUACGCGGUACAGCAGCCCAGAAGACGAAGGCAAUAAAUGCCUUUGGAACAAACCCACAAAUCUCUGAUGAUCAAGUAAAACCUGACCAUCAGUUUCCUUCAUCUGGUCAAGCUUCCUCUUCAUGUUUGUAGCAUAGUCAUGUGCGAGCCGGUGCAACUGUUUAUUUCUCAUGCUUGAGCCCUCUAAUCUCCUGUUUGAGACUCAUCACUUCAGCCGCCAAUGAUUCAACUUGGCGGGUUCGAGCAAAUAGGCGUUGGGCCAUAUUAGACACAGAACCUGCACACUGAACACUGAGAGCCAGCGAAUCCUUAACAGCUAACUCAUCAGACCGUUUGGAAAGUAGUCUGUUAUCUUUGGGAGUGAGAAGGUUCCUGGCCACCACCGCAGCGGUCAUAUCAUUCUUCAUCACGGAAUCCCCAACGGUAAGAGGACCAGUAGGGGAGACGAAGGAUGGGCGCCAUAUGUUGUCUGGAGAAGGCGGGGCUGCCUCUUCAACAAGGUUCAAGUCAAAACGACGGUCGGAGGGGCCAGACAUUUUCAAAGGUGUUGAAGAGAGAAGAGGUCGGACAAAUCAAGAUCUUAGAAGUGCAAGAAUGGAGCUUCUACUAGUGGAGAUUCAAGUGUGCUGUAGAACUUAAUGCCAGCCCCUAUAAAAAUCUGCACUCGACGGAGCUUCAGAAAUCGAAGAGGCGCCUGCUCAGAAAUCGAAGAGACGUUUGCUUUCUCAAAAGCUGGGCUGCUUAGAGACCACGAAGGUUGAUAUCAGAAAUCGAAAAGGCGUUUGCUUUCUCAAAAGAUGGGCUGCUCAAAGACCACGAAGGCCGAUCUCAGAAAUCGAAAAGGCGCUCGCUUUCUCAAAAGCUGGGCUCCUCAGAGACCACGAGGGCCGAUCUCAGAAAUCGAAGAGGCACCACCUACUUUUUCAGCCUUGUCAGCACCUGUCACACGCACACUCAGCUUUGCGGAAAUUAUGGGCAUUCUGUCGAAGACUUCUGGUGAAGUAGAAAACACAUGAAUCUUACUGUUCAAUCACCCACUUCCCACACGCAACAAUAGCUCAUGGGUACCACAGAUAACUUUGCCAAAGUUCUCUGCCAAAGUUGGAAAUGAACAGUACCACUGCUGGAUAAUUGGAAAAACCCUAUGUGUCAACCUCUAUGCUUCGUGGCAAGGUAGACUAGCAAACAUGCCCAACCUUUACUCACAUUUGAGAAAACACUCCCAAUAAGAUUACUUGCUCCAAAAUCGAAGAGGCACCGUCCUCCGAAUCUCAAGAGCCAGACUCCCAACAUGACUACUUUCUCAAAAAUCGAAGAGAGGGUAAAGGAACAGUACCAUUGCUGGAUAAUUGGAAAGUCCCUGUGUGUCAACCUCUGUGCUUCGUGGCAAGGUAGACUAGCAAACAUGCCCAACCUUUACUCACAUUUCGAGAAAACACUCCCAACAAGAUUGCUUGCUCCAAAAUCGAAGAGGCACCGCCCUCCGAAUCUCGAGAGCCAGACUCCCAACAUGAUUACUUUCUCAAAAAUCGAAGAGACACCGCUCCCCGAAUCUCGAGAGCCAGACCCCCAGCAUGAUUGCUUUCUCAAAAAUCGAAGAGGCAUCGUUCUCCGAAUCAAUCGAAGAGGCGCUCGCUUUCUCAAAAGCUGGGCUGCCCAGAGACCACGAGGGCCGAUCUCAGAAAUCGAAGAGGCACUUACUUUUCUAGCCUUGUCAGCACCUAUCACACGCACACUCAGCUUUGCGGAAAUUAUGGGCAUUCUAUCGAAGACUUCUGGUGAAGUAGAAAGCACAUGAAUCUUACUGUUCAAUCACCCACUUCCCACAUGCAACAAUAGCUCAUGGGUACCACAAAUAACUUUGCCAAAGUUGAGCACGUGAAGCUUGCAGCUCCCACUACAUCGCUCUGACCAAGAAAGGUAAAAGAAUAGCAAAGAAACAGCACUAACAAAGUUUAGACACAUAAAUUUUGAAGGUCUAGCUACCAUAUUAUUACCCACAAGGGUAAAGGAACAGUACCACUGCUGGAUAAUUGGAAAGUCCCUGUGUGUCAACCUCUGUGCUUCGUGGCAAGGUAGACUAGCAAACAUGCCCAACCUUUACUCACAUUCGAGAAAACACUCCCAACAAGAUUGGUUGCUCCAAAAUCGAAAAGGCACCGUCCUCCGAAUCUCGAGAGCCAGACUCCCAACAUGACUACUUUCUUAAAAUCGAAGAGACUGUAAAGGAACAGUACCAUUGCUGGAUAAUUGGAAAGUCCCUGUGUGUCAACCUCUGUGCUUCGUGGUAAGGUAGACUAGCAAACAUGCCCAACCUUUACUCACAUUCGAGAAAAAACUUUUGCUUGCUCCAAAAUCGAAGAGGCACCGCCCUCCGAAUCUCGAGAGCCAGACUCCCAACAUGAUUACUUUCUCAAAAAUCGAAGAGACACUGCUCUCCGAAUCUCGAGAGCCAGACCCCCAUCAUGAUUGCUUUCUCAAAAAUCGAAGAGGCAUCGUUCUCCGAAUCUCGAGAGCCAGAUAUCACAGACCACUUUUUCAAAGUGCUCUGACAGAGUUAAAACAUGUGAAGCUGGCAGCUCCCACUACCGUGCUAAGACCAAGCAGGGUAAAGGAAUAGCAUUACUACUUGUUGUUAGGGAGACUCCUAUAUAUGUCGAUCUCCAUCCCCAACGGACAGGCAGACCUGCAAAAAUGCUCAACCCUUCCUCAUAUCUAACAGGGCACUCCCAACGAAGCCUUUCGAAAUAUUCAGCUUUCUUUCCCCCCGAUAAUACCUCUGCAAACAAGCUAUACUAGAGCAAGAAUAUCUCAUAUCAUCAGGGUUAAAAGCAAGAGUAUCCCAUAUCAUGCUUUUUCCCUGUCUUUUCCUUUGGCCUUGUUCUUACCUGCAAGACAAGGAGAAAGAGAGCAAUCAGUCAGCACUUGGAAUCAAACUUCCAGCCAGGAACUGACUGCCUGGAACCCCUUAGCUGAUUACUUACCUGGCAUUGCUCUCGAGUACUCAUCUUCAACAUCUAAUGCUUCCAGGGAAGAUAUCGCAUCUGCUUGAGGAACAGAUAGGGCAAGUGCGAAUGAUACAAGGAAGCAUGUGGAGACAAGCGUAACAGCACACGUGCCGAUACAUCCAUUACUCUGUCAAAAGCAAAAGUAUCCCAUAUCAACAGGGUCGAACGUACUCUAGAUUUGAUGGACUUGUUUUGACCCUCAAAUUCUUCAGUCGGCCUUAUACUCUGGAGGACACCAGAAAACCCUCCAGCUCAGUUCAAGAAUAAGCCUGUGGAAAGUUACUUCUUCAAAAGCAAAAGUAUCCCAUAUCAUCUCUUCUCAUUUUUCUUCUCUUUAUCCUUCAUGCUGCUGCAAGAUGGGGAGAAGGUGAACACUCAGCCGCAGCUCUGAUUGCUUACCUUGUCUGUCACCUCUUUCAGCAGAUCCCCUAGCUCGGCGACUUUGGGGACUCAUACUACAUGGUUUGUAUCGCACUUGACCAAGCCUGAAACUACAAGUAAGCUUCAAGUGAAAUUGAUACAUUACCUGUGCAUCUCCACCAGUUAAAGAUACCACCCCUGGAUGGAGGAAGAGUACUUCCAGAGAAGAUGCCACAUCUACCUAUGAGACAGAUAAGGCAAGUCAAGACGAUACCACACUCCGAUACUUAGAAGUUUCGUGAUUACGAGAUCAUUCUCCCACAAUAUUUCCUAAUGUCAUUUGUACUAAAUCAUUCACUUGUACUCACUAAAGGAGAGCUUGAACCUAUGUACUUGUGUAAACCCUUCACAAUUAAUGAAAACUCCUCUACUCCGUGGACGUAGCCAAUCUGGGUGAACCACGUACAUCUUGUGUUUGCUUUUCUAUCUCUAUCCAUUUAUAUACUUAUCCACACUAAUGACCGGAGCAAUCUAGCGAAGAUCACAAAAAGCGACCGUUUUCGCUACCUAGGACCUAUCUUGUAAGAGAACGGAGAAUUAGAUGGAGAUCUCAACCAUAGAAUACGAGCUGGAUGGAUGAAGUGUAAGAGUGCAUCCGGCGUGUUGUGUGACCGUCGUAGGCCACUGAAGCUCAAGGGAAAAUUUUAUAAGACGGUAAUAAGGCCAGCGAUGUUGUAUGACACAAAAUGUUGGGCGGUGAAGCAUCAACACGUACACAAAAUGGGUGUAGCGGAGAUGAGGAUGCUUCGUGGGAUGUGUGGGCACACGAGAAAGGAUAAGAUUGGGAAUGAGGAUAUCCGAGGUAAAGUAGGAGUAGCCGAAAUUGAAGGAAAUAUGAGAGAAAAUCGGUUCCGGUGAUUUGGACAUGUGCAAAGAAGGCCUACUGACGCUCCGGUUCGAAGACGUGACUACGGGACAGAGGUUCAGGGCCGAAGGGGUAGAGGAAGACCUAGGAAAACUUUGGAAGAGACUCUAAGAAAAGACUUAAGAGUACUUGGAUCUAACGAAUGACAUGACACAAAACCGAGCGCAAUGGCGUUCUAGGAUUCAUAUAGCCGACCCCACUUAGUGGGAAAAGGCUUUGUUGUUGUUGUUGUUGUUGUUGUUGAGAAUCAGAAGAGAACAUCUGCACUAGUAGUUAACAUAUACAACCUUUGCAUACCUCAGUUUACUUGUAACUUUGAACUGACAUCGAAGGAUAAUGUUGAAUCAAUAGAAUCAUUGCCUCCUCAGCAAUCUGUUGAUAAAUGAGAACAAAAAUGAAUAGGAUUAUACAUUGAAGGGUUAAUAUUCUAGAAAUCACAAAAAUAUGGAAACCACAACAGUCGAGCAUCCAAAAGAAAGGCAUGAUGCGUACCUUUUCAGUUAAAUCCAGGCCUUUUUCAGAUACGUGAAUGAAAGAAGUAAUAUGAAUUCAACAUUAAUUACCUAAAAACUUGGUUUUAUUCGGAUAUAUAAACCUACGAGGAGAAAUGAGAUUAUAAGGUACAAAAUUUCUACAAGGUUAUCAAAGAACUACAUCAUUUGGAUGAACAUGUAAAGCAACUACUCCUCCUCUGUUCCUGUCUUUAUUAAUCAAGUAUCCACGCAGAGACGGUAGACUUAUAGGAUUACUAUUUAAUCACGAGUCGGGGUUCACAAUAAUCUAAAGUGAGAAAACUCCUGCCCAUAUACAUUAAAAUCAAUCAUUCACUUUCUAAUUUAUAAGUAACAAGAAAAGCAUCUCUCUCUUAAAUUCCCUCUCUAUCUUCACCAGUUCUUGAUUUUGUGAACAAUUGAGGACCCAAACUCCAUCCCAGUAAAUCUAACCAAAUUAAAUUCGUUAGGGUAACUGCGGAAUGAGGUUUUCAUCGGCCAGGAGAAAGAAUUAAUAAAACGAACUAAAACGAGGCGAUUUGUGAGUUUCUAGGGUUCUAUAUGAUGCGAAACUUAAAAUGAAACUUAGAGAUAGAGAAUUUAGAUUUGUGACUUACGUAUUAACAACCAGAAAUCGCAGCCUCAAAUUAUGAAAUCUUAGCCUCCAAUAUUCAAAAUCGCAGUCUCAAACCUCUGAACUCGAAGCUCCAAUAUUCGAAAUCGCAGCCUCAAAUCUCUUAAAUCAUAGAAAUACAAAUUAUUCAUGAAAGCAAUCCAAUCAGUUCUUCGAAGACGAAAUAAAAAACAAAUUCAGAAAAAUGAACCAAAAAAAAAAACGAAUCAAAACAAUUCAAUCCAAUCAUAAGAAACGAUUCAAAAUUACUUCGGAUUUCAAAAGACCAAAACCCUAAAAGAGUCCUCUGCAGAUCGAAUUCGGACUGGACUAGUGGGAAACGAGUCGAAAUUUUAUUGAAAGUAAAAUAUCUCUAAAAUCGUAGCUUCUAACCUCUAGCUCAUAUCAAAAUCGACGGAAAAGCCAUGGGAGAGAGCUCGACAAGUUGGAGGGAGAGAGCUCUCGACGAGCUGGAGAAUUUGUUGUUGGAAAAUAUAGGGAAGGUAGAGAAGUUCCAGAGAAAGGGAAACAAGUUUAAAAAUUUAGAAAUAUGUUGGCUUAAUGUGGGUGGGUGAA